GGGUUGUGAGGUUAAGCGACUAAGCGUACACGGUGGAUGCCCUGGCAGUCAGAGGCGAUGAAGGGCGUGCUAAUCUGCGAUAAGCGCCGGUAAGGUGAUAUGAACCGUUAUAACCGGCGAUACCCGAAUGGGGAAACCCAGUGUGAUUCGUCACACUAUCAUUAACUGAAUCCAUAGGUUAAUGAGGCGAACCGGGGGAACUGAAACAUCUAAGUACCCCGAGGAAAAGAAAUCAACCGAGAUUCCCCCAGUAGCGGCGAGCGAACGGGGAGGAGCCCAGAGCCUGAAUCAGCAUGUGUGUUAGUGGAAGCGUCUGGAAAGGCGCGCGAUACAGGGUGACAGCCCCGUACACAAAAGCGCAUGUGUUGUGAGCUCGAUGAGUAGGGCGGGACACGUGGUAUCCUGUCUGAAUAUGGGGGGACCAUCCUCCAAGGCUAAAUACUCCUGACUGACCGAUAGUGAACCAGUACCGUGAGGGAAAGGCGAAAAGAACCCCGGCGAGGGGAGUGAAAAAGAACCUGAAACCGUGUACGUACAAGCAGUGGGAGCACCCUUUUGGGUGUGACUGCGUACCUUUUGUAUAAUGGGUCAGCGACUUAUAUUCUGUAGCAAGGUUAACCGAAUAGGGGAGCCGGAGGGAAACCGAGUCUUAAUUGGGCGUUAAGUUGCAGGGUAUAGACCCGAAACCCGGUGAUCUAGCCAUGGGCAGGUUGAAGGUUGGGUAACACUAACUGGAGGACCGAACCGACUAAUGUUGAAAAAUUAGCGGAUGACCUGUGGCUGGGGGUGAAAGGCCAAUCAAACCGGGAGAUAGCUGGUUCUCCCCGAAAGCUAUUUAGGUAGCGCCUCGUGAAUUCAUCUCCGGGGGUAGAGCACUGUUUCGGCUAGGGGGCCAUCCCGGCUUACCAACCCGAUGCAAACUGCGAAUACCGGAGAAUGUUAUCACGGGAGACACACGGCGGGUGCUAACGUCCGUCGUGAAGAGGGAAACAACCCAGACCGCCAGCUAAGGUCCCAAAGUCAUGGUUAAGUGGGAAACGAUGUGGGAAGGCCCAGACAGCCAGGAUGUUGGCUUAGAAGCAGCCAUCAUUUAAAGAAAGCGUAAUAGCUCACUGGUCGAGUCGGCCUGCGCGGAAGAUGUAACGGGGCUAAACCAUGCACCGAAGCUGCGGCAGCGACGCUCAGGCGUUGUUGGGUAGGGGAGCGUUCUGUAAGCCUGUGAAGGUGGCCUGUGAGGGUUGCUGGAGGUAUCAGAAGUGCGAAUGCUGACAUAAGUAACGAUAAAGCGGGUGAAAAGCCCGCUCGCCGGAAGACCAAGGGUUCCUGUCCAACGUUAAUCGGGGCAGGGUGAGUCGACCCCUAAGGCGAGGCCGAAAGGCGUAGUCGAUGGGAAACGGGUUAAUAUUCCCGUACUUGGUGUUACUGCGAAGGGGGGACGGAGAAGGCUAUGUUGGCCGGGCGACGGUUGUCCCGGUUUAAGCGUGUAGGUGUGUGUUCCAGGUAAAUCCGGUUCACUUUAACACUGAGGCGUGACGACGAGGCACUACGGUGCUGAAGCAACAAAUGCCCUGCUUCCAGGAAAAGCCUCUAAGCAUCAGGUAACAUCAAAUCGUACCCCAAACCGACACAGGUGGUCAGGUAGAGAAUACCAAGGCGCUUGAGAGAACUCGGGUGAAGGAACUAGGCAAAAUGGUGCCGUAACUUCGGGAGAAGGCACGCUGACACGUAGGUGAAGUGAUUUACUCAUGGAGCUGAAGUCAGUCGAAGAUACCAGCUGGCUGCAACUGUUUAUUAAAAACACAGCACUGUGCAAACACGAAAGUGGACGUAUACGGUGUGACGCCUGCCCGGUGCCGGAAGGUUAAUUGAUGGGGUCAGCGCAAGCGAAGCUCCUGAUCGAAGCCCCGGUAAACGGCGGCCGUAACUAUAACGGUCCUAAGGUAGCGAAAUUCCUUGUCGGGUAAGUUCCGACCUGCACGAAUGGCGUAAUGAUGGCCAGGCUGUCUCCACCCGAGACUCAGUGAAAUUGAACUCGCUGUGAAGAUGCAGUGUACCCGCGGCAAGACGGAAAGACCCCGUGAACCUUUACUAUAGCUUGACACUGAACAUUGAGCCUUGAUGUGUAGGAUAGGUGGGAGGCUUUGAAGCGUGGACGCCAGUCUGCGUGGAGCCGACCUUGAAAUACCACCCUUUAAUGUUUGAUGUUCUAACGUGGACCCGUUACCCGGGUUGCGGACAGUGUCUGGUGGGUAGUUUGACUGGGGCGGUCUCCUCCUAAAGAGUAACGGAGGAGCACGAAGGUUGGCUAAUCCUGGUCGGACAUCAGGAGGUUAGUGCAAUGGCAUAAGCCAGCUUGACUGCGAGCGUGACGGCGCGAGCAGGUGCGAAAGCAGGUCAUAGUGAUCCGGUGGUUCUGAAUGGAAGGGCCAUCGCUCAACGGAUAAAAGGUACUCCGGGGAUAACAGGCUGAUACCGCCCAAGAGUUCAUAUCGACGGCGGUGUUUGGCACCUCGAUGUCGGCUCAUCACAUCCUGGGGCUGAAGUAGGUCCCAAGGGUAUGGCUGUUCGCCAUUUAAAGUGGUACGCGAGCUGGGUUUAGAACGUCGUGAGACAGUUCGGUCCCUAUCUGCCGUGGGCGCUGGAGAACUGAGGGGGGCUGCUCCUAGUACGAGAGGACCGGAGUGGACGCAUCACUGGUGUUCGGGUUGUCAUGCCAAUGGCACUGCCCGGUAGCUAAAUGCGGAAGAGAUAAGUGCUGAAAGCAUCUAAGCACGAAACUUGCCCCGAGAUGAGUUCUCCCUGAGACUUAGAGUCUCCUGAAGGAACGUUGAAGACGACGACGUUGAUAGGCCGGGUGUGUAAGCGCAGCGAUGCGUUGAGCUAACCGGUACUAAUGAACCGUGAGGCUUAACCUUACAACGCCGAAGCUGUU
rnacentral:rRNA from 1 species